rnacentral:lncRNA from 1 species
CACCGACUUCUUAGGUUUUUGGCAUUUGAUGCCAAAGGGGGAGAGAGUGCGUAUGAGAGUUAGGAGUUAGGGGGUUAGGAGCUAGAGAGGGAUUUUUUUUAUUUUAUUCUUUUGAGAUACCUUUUAUGUGUGCUACUUUAUCAUGCAUCAUGUUUACUUUCAUGCACUGCAUUUGUGUGAGAUACACUAUGGUUGUGAGACAUGACUUGUGGUUAUUGUGAUAUCUUAAUGUCAUGUGUUUUGGCUCAUAUUACCCUUGCUUCCGCGUUGUACUCCGUUGUACUUAUGAGCCAUAUGUUUAUAUCCUGUUGUAUAUCACUCACAUAUUUGGUUGCAGGGUAUUGGACUUGGUUGAUAUAAGCAUGACUAAUCCCCUUAUUCCUAUUGUAUCAUGCUUAUUGAAACCAAGUCUCUUUAAAAACCUCAAAUCUUUUCAUACUCGAGGUUGUCAUCAAUCACCAAAAAGGAGGAGAUUGAAAGAGCAUCUAGGCCCCUAGUGAUUUCGGUGA